AGCAUUAAUUCUUUUUUCAUUCUUGUUCAUGUGCAACAUAAAGUUUAAUAGCAGCAUACACAGCAUAGAUUCUAAGAAAUACAAAAAAAAAUAAUUGAACUGAAAGACAAAUCAGAAAUAACUUGUGUUUAAUGUCAUUUCAAAGACAUUUUUACAACUACAAGAAAAACACAGAAAACCCAAAGACUCCUACACAGGGACACUUACCAUACCAGCAAUACCUGUUACAAAGUCUGCUAUUGCACCAGUGUCCAUUUCACAAUUAAACUGUUCAAAACUUACAACCAAAACAAUGAUCGCAUUUAAAGGAUUCUCCAUAACCAUAUUUGUUAAAAUACCAAACCCACAUUUGAAGUUGUACAGCACAAAAAAAAAAUAUGUAUACCUAAUAGUGAAACUAAUAUUAGCUAGAGCUAAUUACUACAGAUACAACUUUCUAUGGAAAUGUUAUGUUUGGAAUAAUAAUGAAAUAUUUAAAUAAAAAUGUGCUCUGUGGUAACAUUUUCGGUCAGCAUACAAACAGAUGCACCUAAGUAGGUUUAUAAUAAGUACAAAAGUCUGAUACAUGUUAAAGCCAAGGCACAAAGUAAUGCAUAAAAUAAUAAUACAGAGCUGUUGCGAUCAUCCAUCAAAAGUUAAGUAACAUUUCCUUUGCAAUCUAAAAAUUCCACGAAUCAAACACAAGACCUCUCUGUUCAGAAGCCAACUGCUUUACCUCUCAGCCACCGGGACUCACCAUCCUAGUUGCAUAUGUUUCUACCACCAUAACAAGAUCAGAAAGGUUGUUAAAGUUAGAAAAUGUUUGGCAAUGUCCUUUAAGAGUUAGUCAAUUAGAUACCCAAAAGAAUAUAUUUAAAUUUGAAAAAUUUAGAAAAUCAAUGGAAGAUAUUAAAAUUGAUACAAGAAAAGUAGAACAAAAUUUAUUUUUUUUUCAAAAAGACAGUACCCCCUUUAUUAAUUACAAAUUAUAGAAUGAUUAUUUUGCUUUUAAUAACUAAAAAUAACUAUAAAUGUUGGAUUUGAAGAAAAUGGAAAAUUUUUUCCCCGAACCUAUUGGUAACCAUUGACCUCUUGACUAGCAACUAAACAUUUUUGGUUAAUGACAUCAUUUUAAUAAUAUUAGCAUGGCACUAUUUGAUAGCUUUAGCUAACAGUCUGUUUUAAAUAUGGAAGAUAUCAUUAACAAAAGCUAUAAGAUAUUAAAAAAACAAAAAAAAACAAACUAGAACAUGAAUGCAGUAUAAAAAGGAUUAUUGUCUGCCAGGGACACUAGCCAAUAAGCCUGAAACAGAAGCCUCAAAAAAAUUUGUUACCCUAAAAACAGCAUAUGUAUAUAUAUAUAUAUAUAUCAGGCUAGCAGAGUUACUGUUUACAUUAUAUAUAUAUAUAUCAGGCUAGCAGAGUUACUGUUUACAUUAUAUAUAUGUAUAUCAGGCUAGCA